rnacentral:rRNA from 1 species
AGAGUUUGAUCCUGGCUCAGAACGAACGCUGGCGGCAGGCCUAACACAUGCAAGUCGAGGGGGAAGCCACUUUCGGGUGGUGGAGACCGGCGCACGGGUGAGUAACGCGUGGGAAUUUACCCAGGAGUGGGGGAUAACCGCUGGAAACGGCGGCUAAUACCGCAUACGCCCUUAGGGGGAAAGCUUUAGCGCUUUUGGAUGAGCCCGCGUUAGAUUAGGUAGUUGGUGGGGUAAAGGCCUACCAAGCCUGCGAUCUAUAGCUGGUCUGAGAGGAUGAUCAGCCACACUGGGACUGAGACACGGCCCAGACUCCUACGGGAGGCAGCAGUGGGGAAUAUUGGACAAUGGGGGCAACCCUGAUCCAGCCAUGCCGCGUGCGUGAAGAAGGCCUUAGGGUUGUAAAGCGCUUUCACUGGUGAAGAUGAUGACGGUAGCCAGAGAAGAAGCCCCGGCUAACUCCGUGCCAGCAGCCGCGGUAAUACGGAGGGGGCAAGCGUUGUUCGGAAUUACUGGGCGUAAAGGGCGCGUAGGCGGGGUGUCAAGUUAGGGGUGAAAGGCCUGGGCUCAACCUGGGAACUGCCUCUAAAACUGUCACUCUAGAGUCCGGGAGAGGAUGGCGGAAUUCC